UACGUAGGGUGCAAGCGUUAAUCGGAAUUACUGGGCGUAAAGCGCGUGUAGGCGGCUCGGCAAGUCGGAUGUGAAAGCCCUGGGCUCAACCUAGGAAGUGCAUUCGAAACUGCAGAGCUUGAGUUCUGGAGAGGAAGGCGGAAUUCUCGGUGUAGAGGUGAAAUUCGUAGAUAUCGAGAGGAACACCUGUGGCGAAGGCGGCCUUCUGGACAGUGACUGACGCUGAGACGCGAAAGCGUGGGGAGCAAACAGG
rnacentral:rRNA from 1 species